rnacentral:rRNA from 1 species
AUACGGGAGGCAGCAGUGGGGAAUAUUGCGCAAUGGACGAAAGUCUGACGCAGCGACGCCGCGUGUGGGAUGAAGCCUUUCGGGGCGUAAACCACUGUUGCCCGGGACGAACGUCCCCUUUCGAGGGGACUGACGGUACCGGGUGAGGAAGCACCGGCUAACUCUGUGCCAGCAGCCGCGGUAAUACAGAGGGUGCGAGCGUUGUCCGGAAUCACUGGGCGUAAAGGGCGCGUAGGUGGCUGGGUAAGCGUGUGGUGAAAGUCCGGGGCUCAACCCCGGAUCUGCCGUGCGAACUGCUUAGCUCGAGCAAUGUAGAGGCAGGUGGAAUUUCGGGUGUAGCGGUGGAAUGCGUAGAUAUCCGAAAGAACACCAGUGGCGAAGGCGGCCUGCUGGGCAUUAGCUGACACUGAGGCGCGACAGCGUGGGGAGCAAACAGGAUUAGAUACCCGUGUAGUCG